rnacentral:rRNA from 1 species
GUGAGGAAUAUUGGACAAUGGGCGCAAGCCUGAUCCAGCCAUGCCGCGUGCAGGAAGACGCAUCUAUGGUGUGUAAUCUGCUUUUGUACGGGAAGAAACACUCCCUCGUGAGGGAGCUUGACGGUACCGUAAGAAUAAGGAUCGGCUAACUCCGUGCCAGCAGCCGCGGUAAUACGGAGGAUCCAAGCGUUAUCCGGAAUCAUUGGGUUUAAAGGGUCCGUAGGCGGUUUAAUAAGUCAGUGGUGAAAGCCCAUCGCUCAACGAUGGAACGGCCAUUGAUACUGUUAGACUUGAAUUACAAGGAAGUAACUAGAAUAUGUAGUGUAGCGGUGAAAUGCUUAGAUAUUACAUGGAAUACCAAUUGCGAAGGCAGGUUACUACUUGUGGAUUGACGCUGAUGGACGAAAGCGUGGGGAGCGAACAGGAUUAGAUACCCGUGUAGUCC